rnacentral:tRNA from 1 species
UAUAUGUUGGUGUAUACGCACGAGAAGUUUUGAUCUUCUAAGACCAGGUGAAAUCCCUUGACAUAUA